GCUUAUUCUCAGGGCGGGGUGCAAUUCCCCACCGGCGGUAUCCUGCCAUGAUGCAGGGAGCCCGCGAGCGCCCGACGCAAGUCGGGGUCAGCAGAUCCGGUGAGAUGCCGGAGCCGACGGUUAUAGUCCGGAUGAAAGAGGAUAAAC
rnacentral:ncRNA from 2 species